rnacentral:rRNA from 1 species
AACGCGAAGAACCUUACCUGGUCUUGACAUGUACGGAAUCCUCCAGAGACGGAGGAGUGCCUUCGGGAGCCGUAACACAGGUGCUGCAUGGCUGUCGUCAGCUCGUGUCGUGAGAUGUUGGGUUAAGUCCCGCAACGAGCGCAGCCCUUGUUCACUGUUGCCAGCACGUUAUGGUGGGGACUCAGUGGAGACCGCCGGGGUCAACUCGGAGGAAGGUGGGGAUGACGUCAAGUCAUCAUGCCCCUUAUGUCCAGGGCUUCACGCAUGCUACAAUGGCUGGUACAGAGAGUGGCGAGCCUGUGAGGGUGAGCGAAUCUCGGAAAGCCGGUCUCAGUUCGGAUUGGGGUCUGCAACUCGACCUCAUGAAGUCGGAGUCGCUAGUAAUCGCAGAUCAGCACGCC